CCGAAUUGCAGAAGAUCCACAGGGCAGCUGUCAAAGGCGACGCCGCGGAGGUGGAGCGCUGCCUGGCGCGCAGGAGCGGAGACCUGGACGCCCGGGACAAGCAGCACAGAACUGCUCUACACUUGGCCUGUGCCAGUGGCCAUGUGCAAGUGGUCACUCUCCUGGUUAACAGAAAAUGCCAGAUUGAUAUCUGUGACAAAGAAAACAGAACGCCUUUGAUACAGGCUGUCCAUUGCCAGGAAGAGGCUUGUGCCGUUAUUCUGCUGAAACAUGGCGCCAAUCCAAACCUUAAGGAUAUCUACGGCAACACUGCUCUCCAUUAUGCUGUGUAUAGUGAGAGCACCUCACUGGCAGAAAAACUGCUUUCCCAUGGUGCACACAUUGAAGCACUGGACAAGGACAGUAAUACCCCACUUUUAUUCGCUAUAAUUUGCAAGAAAGAGAAAAUGGUGGAAUUUUUAUUGAAAAAGAAAGCAAGUACACAUGCCGUUGAUAGGCUGAGACGGUCAGCUCUCAUGCUUGCUGUAUACUAUGACUCACCAGGUAUUGUCAGUAUCCUUCUUAAGCAAAAUAUUGAUGUCUUCGCUCAAGACAUGUGUGGACGAGAUGCAGAAGAUUACGCUAUUUCUCAUCAUUUGACAAAAAUUCAACAACAAAUUUUGGAACAUAAACAGAAGAUACUUAAAAAGGAGAAAUCAGGUAAGACUUCUGAUUUGUGUCCCCGAGAAAGUGUCAGAGCCUUUACCUGGACCUUCGCAUGAAAAAGGAAACAGAAUAGUCAAUGGACAAGGAGAAGGGCCUCCUGCAAAACAUCCUUCCUUGAAGCCUACCACUGGAGUGGAAGAUCCUGCUGUGAAAGGAGCAGUACAAAGAAAGAAUGUACAGACAUUGAGAGCAGAACAAGCCUUACCAGUGGCUUCAGAGGAAGAGCAAGAAAGGCAUGAAAGAAGUGAAAAGAAGCAACCACAGGUCAAAAAAGGAAAUAAUACAAACAAAAGUGAAAAAAUACAACUUUCAGAAAAUAUAUGUGAUAGUACAUCUUCUGCUGCUGCUGGCAGAUUAACCCAACAAAGAAAGAUUGGGAAAACGUAUCCUCAGCAAUUUCCCAAGAAGCUGAAGGAAGAGCAUGAUAAAUGCACCUUAAAACAAGAAAAUGAAGAAAAAACAAAUGUUAAUAUGCUGUACAAAAAAAAUAGAGAAGAAUUAGAAAGGAAAGAGAAACAAUAUAAGAAAGAAGUUGAAGCAAAACAACUUGAACCAACUGUUCAGUCACUAGAGAUGAAAUCAAAGACUGCAAGAAAUACUCCAAAUCGGGAUUUUCAUAAUCAUGAAGAAACGAAAGGUCUGAUGGAUGAAAAUUGCAUUUUGAAGGCAGAUAUUGCCAUACUCAGACAGGAAAUAUGUACAAUGAAAAAUGACAACUUGGAAAAAGAAAAUAAAUAUCUUAAGGACAUUAAAAUUGUUAAAGAAACAAAUGCUGCCCUUGAAAAGUAUAUAAAACUCAAUGAGGAAAUGAUAACAGAAACAGCAUUCCGGUAUCAACAAGAGCUUAAUGAUCUCAAGGCUGAGAAUACAAGGCUCAAUGCCGAACUGUUGAAGGAAAAAGAAAGCAAGAAAAGACUGGAAGCUGACAUUGAAUCUUAUCAGUCUAGACUGGCUGCUGCUAUAGGUAAACACAGUGAAAGUGUGAAAACAGAAAGAAACGUAAAACUUGCUUUAGAGAGAACACAAGAUGUUUCUGUACAAGUAGAAAUGAGUUCUGCUAUUUCCAAAGUAAAAGAUGAGAAUGAGUUUCUUACUGAACAACUUUCUGAAACACAAAUUAAAUUCAAUGCCUUAAAAGAUAAGUUCCGUAAGACAAGAGAUAGUCUCAGAAAAAAGUCAUUGGCUUUAGAAACUGUACAAAAUGACCUAAGAAAAACACAGCAGCAAACACAGGAAAUGAAAGAGAUGUAUCAAAAUGCAGAAGCUAAAGUGAAUAAUUCCACUGGAAAGUGGAACUGUGUAGAAGAGAGGAUAUGUCACCUCCAACGUGAAAAUGCGUGGCUUGUACAGCAACUAGAUGACGUUCAUCAGAAAGAGGAUCAUAAAGAGAUAGUAACUAAUAUCCAAAGAGGCUUUAUUGAGAGUGGAAAGAAAGACCUCGUACUAGAAGAGAAAAGUAAGAAGCUAAUGAAUGAAUGUGAUCAUUUAAAAGAAAGUCUCUUUCAGUAUGAGAGAGAGAAAGCAGAAGGAGUAGUGGUUGUGAGACAACUUCAACAAGAAGUGGCUGACAGCGUAAAAAAAUUAACAACGUUAGAGUCUCCACUGGAAGGUAUAUCACAUUGUCACAUUAAUUUGGAUGAGACACAGGCCUCAAAGAAGAAAUUAUUUCAAGUGGAAAGUCAACCUAAAAAAGAAAAUGAAGAAUUAAGAAAACUUUUUGAGUUAAUAUCAUCACUGAAGUAUAAUGUGAAUCGAAUAAGAAAGAAAAAUGAUGAAUUAGAAGAAGAGGCAACUGGAUAUAAGAAACUCCUGGAAAUGACAAUAAAUAUGUUAAAUGUAUUUGGAAAUGCAGACUUUGAUUGCCAUGGAGACUUAAAAACAGAUCAACUGAAAAUGGAUAUUCUGAUUAAGAAGCUAAAACAGAAGUUUGAUGAUCUUACGGCAGAGAAGGAAGCUUUAUCUUCAAAAUGUGUCAAUUUGGCUAAAGACAAUCAAGUUCUUCAACAGGAGUUUUUAUCUAUGAAAAAAGUACAACAGGAAUGAAAAACUUGAGGAGGAUAAAAAGAUGUUGAAAGAAGAAAUAUUAAAUCUUAAGACACAUAUGGAAAACAAUAUGGUAGAACUUAGUAAACUACAAGAAUAUAAAUCGGAGCUAGAUGAAAAGGCAAUGCAGGCAGUAGAAAAAUUAGUAGAAAUCCACUUACAGGAACGAGCACAAUAUGAAAAACAAUUAGAGCAGUUAAACAAGGAUAAUAUGGCUUCACUAAGUAAGAAGGAACUCACACUUAAAGAUGUGGAAUGUAAAUUCUCAGAAAUGAAAACUGCUUAUGAAGAGGUUACAACCGAAUUAGAAGAAUAUAAUAAGGAAGCCUUUGCAGCAGCAUUGAAAGAUAACAAUUCCAUGUCAAAAAAAUUAAUGAAAUCGAAUAAGAAAAUAGCAACGAUCAGCAUGGAGCUCCUUAUGGAGAAAGAGCGGAUGAAAUAUUUUCUCAGCACUCUUCCUACAAGGCGAGACCCAGAGUCACCUUGUGUUGAAAAUCUUACUAGUAUAGGACUCAACAGAAAAUAUAUUCUCCAAACACCCAUAAGAAUUCCUAUUUCAAGCCCACAGACUUCAAAUAACUUCAAGAACUCCUUGACUGCGAUGGAGCCGGACUAUGUAGAACAGAUAACUAGAGAAACAAAGAGAACUGUUGCUGUGUUGGACACUUGCUCCCAUCUACUUACUUCUCUAUAAUCCACUGCCACUGAGGAAGCACAGGCCAGCCCUCCCCAGCACAUACUCACUGGUCCCCAACAGAAGAACCGCUGCCGCCUCCAUGAGAUGUUUCAGCUGCUGUACAAGGGAGUCCCAUUUCAGAGCAGGACAAACAGGCCAGGUGGUAUCAGGAGCCCAGGUCUCCAGCUGGAGGGAAUGUCAACCCUGCAGUGGGAGCCCAUCACGCAUCCUAGGCACAGAUGCUAA